rnacentral:rRNA from 1 species
AUAGCGGAGGAAAAGAAACCAACAGGGAUUGCCCCAGUAACGGCGAGUGAAGCGGCAACAGCUCAAAUUUGAAAUCUGGCUCCUUUGGGGUCCGAGUUGUAAUUUGCAGAGGGAGCUUUUGGCGUCGGUCGUGGUCUAAGUUCCUUGGAACAGGACGUCACAGAGGGUGAGAAUCCCGUACGUGGCCGCCGGCCUUCGCCUUGUAAAGCCCCUUCGACGAGUCGAGUUGUUUGGGAAUGCAGCUCUAAAUGGGAGGUAAAUUUCUUCUAAAGCUAAAUACCCGCCAGAGACCGAUAGCGCACAAGUAGAGUGAUCGAAAGAUGAAAAGCACUUUGGAAAGAGAGUGAAAAAGCACGUGAAAUUGUUGAAAGGGAAGCGCUUGCAGCCAGACGUGCCCGCGGUUGAUCAUCCAGGCUCCAGCCUGGUGCACUCCUCCGCGGGCAGGCCAGCAUCAGUUCGGGCGGUCGGAUAAAGGCCUCUAUCACGUACCACCCCUCGGGGUGGCCUUAUAGGGGAGGCGCAACACGGCCAGCCCGGACUGAGGUUCCGCGCAUCUGCUAGGAUGCUGGCGUAAUGGCGGCAAGCGGCCCGUCUUGAAACACGGACCAAGGAGUCUAACAUCUAUGCGAGUGUUUGGGUGUCAAGCCCGAGCGCGUAAUGAAAGUGAACGGAGGUGGGAACCCUCACGGGUGCACCAUCGACCGAUCCUGAUGUCUUCGGAUGGAUUUGAGUAAGAGCAUAGCUGUUGGGACCCGAAAGAUGGUGAACUAUGCCUGAAUAGGGUGAAGCCAGAGGAAACUCUGGUGGAGGCUCGCAGCGGUUCUGACGUGCAAAUCGAUCGUCAAAUUUGGGCAUA